rnacentral:rRNA from 1 species
GAUGAACGCUGGCGGCGUGCCUAAUACAUGCAAGUCGAGCGAACAGAUAAGGAGCUUGCUCCUUUGACGUUAGCGGCGGACGGGUGAGUAACACGUGGAUAACCUACCUAUAAGACUGGGAUAACUUCGGGAAACCGGAGCUAAUACCGGAUAACAUAUUGAACCGCAUGGUUCAAUAGUGAAAGGCGGCUUUGCCGUCACUUAUAGAUGGAUCCGCGCCGUAUUAGCUAGUUGGUAAGGUAACGGCUUACCAAGGCAACGAUACGUAGCCGACCUGAGAGGGUGAUCGGCCACACUGGAACUGAGACACGGUCCAGACUCCUACGGGAGGCAGCAGUAGGGAAUCUUCCGCAAUGGGCGAAAGCCUGACGGAGCAACGCCGCGUGAGUGAUGAAGGUCUUCGGAUCGUAAAACUCUGUUAUCAGGGAAGAACAAAUGUGUAAGUAACUGUGCACAUCUUGACGGUACCUGAUCAGAAAGCCACGGCUAACUACGUG